UACGUAGGUGGCCAGCGUUGUCCGGAUUUACUGGGCGUAAAGAGCGCGCAGGCGGUCGUUCAAGUCGAGUGUGAAAGCCCCCGGCUCAACUGGGGAGGGUCACUCGAUACUGAUCGACUCGAAGGCAGAAGAGGGAAGCGGAAUUCCCGGUGUAGUGGUGAAAUGCGUAGAUAUCGGGAGGAACACCGAUGGCGAAGGCAGGUCUCUGGGCCACUACUGACGCUGAGAAGCGAAAGCGUGGGGAGCGAACAGG
rnacentral:rRNA from 1 species